AUUGAACGGCUGGCGGCAUGCCUUACACAUGCAAGUCGAACGGUAACGGGCCUUCGGGUGCCGACGAGUGGCGAACGGGUGAGUAAUGUAUCGGAACGUACCUUUCAGUGGGGGAUAACGUAGCGAAAGUUACGCUAAUACCGCAUAUUCUGUGAGCAGGAAAGCAGGGGAUCGCAAGACCUUGCGCUGAUUGAGCGGCCGAUAUCAGAUUAGCUAGUUGGUGAGGUAAAGGCUCACCAAGGCGACGAUCUGUAGCGGGUCUGAGAGGAUGAUCCGCCACACUGGAACUGAGACACGGUCCAGACUCCUACGGGAGGCAGCAGUGGGGAAUUUUGGACAAUGGGGGCAACCCUGAUCCAGCCAUGCCGCGUGAGUGAAGAAGGCCUUCGGGUUGUAAAGCUCUUUCGGCCGGGAAGAAAUCGUAUGGGUUAAUACCCUGUGCGGAUGACGGUACCGGCAUAAGAAGCACCGGCUAACUACGUG
rnacentral:rRNA from 1 species